GAUGAACGCUGGCGGCGUGCCUAAUACAUGCAAGUCGAGCGAACAGACGAGGAGCUUUCUCCUCUGACGUUAGCGGCGGACGUGUGAGUAACACGUGGAUAACCUACCUAUAAGACUGGGAUAACUUCGUGAAACCGGAGCUAAUACCGGAUAAUAUAUUGAACCGCAUGGUUCAAUAGUGAAAGACGGUUUUGCUGUCACUGAUAGAUGGAUCCGCGCCGCAUUAGCUAGUUGGUAAGGUAACGGCUUACCAAGGCAACGAUGCGUAGCCGACCUGAGAGGGUGAUCGGCCACACUGGAACUGAGACACGGUCCAGACUCCUACGGGAGGCAGCAGUAGGGAAUCUUCCGCAAUGGGCGAAAGCCUGACGGAGCAACGCCGCGUGAGUGAUGAAGGUCUUCGGAUCGUAAAACUCUGUUAUUAGGGAAGAACAAAUGUGUAAGUAACUAUGCACGUCUUGACGGUACCUAAUCAGAAAGCCACGGCUAACUACGUG
rnacentral:rRNA from 1 species